rnacentral:rRNA from 1 species
GAUGAAUGCUGGCGGCGUGCCUAAUACAUGCAAGUCGAGCGAACCACUUCGGUGGUGAGCGGCGAACGGGUGAGUAACACGUAGGUGAUCUGCCCAUCAGACGGGGACAACGAUUGGAAACGAUCGCUAAUACCGGAUAGGACGAAAGUUUAAAGGUGCUUCUGGCACCGCUGAUGGAUGAGCCUGCGGCGCAUUAGCUAGUUGGUAGGGUAAAGGCCUACCAAGGCGACGAUGCGUAGCCGACCUGGGAGGGUGAACGGCCACACUGGGACUGAGACACGGCCCAGACUCCUACGGGAGGCAGCAGUAGGGAAUCUUCGGCAAUGGCGAAAGCCUGACGGAGCAAUGCCGCGUGAGUGAAGAAGGCCUUCGGGUCGUAAAACUCUGUUAUAAGAGAAGAACAAAUUGUAGAGUGACUGCUACAGUCUUGACGGUAUCUUAUCAGAAAGCCACGGCUAACUACGUGCCAGCAGCCGCCGCCG